rnacentral:rRNA from 1 species
GGCGAACGCUGGCGGCGUGCUUAACACAUGCAAGUCGAACGGAAAGGCCCUGCCUUUGUGGGGUGCUCGAGUGGCGAACGGGUGAGUAACACGUGAGUAACCUGCCCUUGACUUUGGGAUAACUUCAGGAAACUGGGGCUAAUACCGGAUAGGAGCUCCUGCUGCAUGGUGGGGGUUGGAAGGUUUCGGCGGUUGGGGAUGGACUCGCGGCUUAUCAGCUUGUUGGUGGGGUAGUGGCUUACCAAGGCUUUGACGGGUAGCCGGCCUGAGAGGGUGACCGGCCACAUUGGGACUGAGAUACGGCCCAGACUCCUACGGGAGGCAGCAGUGGGGAAUAUUGCACAAUGGGCGGAAGCCUGAUGCAGCAACGCCGCGUGCGGGAUGACGGCCUUCGGGUUGUAAACCGCUUUCGCCUGUGACGAAGCGUGAGUGACGGUAAUGGGUAAAGAAGCACCGGCUAACUACGUG